rnacentral:rRNA from 1 species
CCUACGGGAGGCUGCAGUGAGGAAUAUUGGUCAAUGGGCGGAAGCCUGAACCAGCCAAGUAGCGUGCAGGAUGACGGCCCUACGGGUUGUAAACUGCUUUUAUACGGGAAUAACGCGCCUUACGUGUAGGGCUUUGCAUGUACCGUAUGAAUAAGGACCGGCUAAUUCCGUGCCAGCAGCCGCGGUAAUACGGAAGGUCCGGGCGUUAUCCGGAUUUAUUGGGUUUAAAGGGAGCGUAGGCCGCAUGUCAAGCGUGCUGUGAAAUGUCCGGGCUCAACCCGGGCCUUGCAGCGCGAACUGGGGUGCUUGAGUCCGCGGAAAGCAGGCGGAAUGCGUCGUGUAGCGGUGAAAUGCUUAGAUAUGACGAAGAACCCCGAUGGCGAAGGCAGCUUGCUGCAGCGGAACUGACGCUGAUGCUCGAAAGCGCGGGUAUCGAACAGGAUUAGAUACCCCUGUAGUC